rnacentral:misc_RNA from 1 species
CGCACAUUGCGCCCACCAGUAUUCUGGUGGGCAUGCCUGUUCGAGCGUCAUUUCAACCCUCAAGCCCUGCUGCUUGGUGUUGGGAGACUACGUCCGUAGCUCCCCAAAGUUAGUGGCGGAGUCGGUAUCGGCCCUGAGCGUAGUAGUUACAUCUCGCUUUUGAGCCGUGCCGCCCCCUGCCGUAAAACCCCCCAAUUUCUAAAGGUUGACCUCGGAUCAGGUAGGAAUACCCGCUGAACUUAA